AUAGGAGGGCUCUUUCUCUGUUGCCUUACCUACUGGAAGGAACCUCAAGGGCCAGAAGACCCUGGGAGGGGUCUGUGGUGUGAUUGUUGUUGGGGGAAUUGGGUCUGCACAAGAACAUGUUAAAUAAAGACACAAAGAGGUGACAAGAAAUAUCAGGGUCCUGGAUGGUGAUGGUGGUUGUGCAGAUCAUUGUGCAGAGGCUUUAGGUCUGCGGAGAGAUCUGUGGUAGAGACAAAUGUGCUGGACACCGAAGCAGGAACAAAAUACUACAAGCUUGUGGCUGAACUUGUCCCAAGUGGGAGAAUAAGGAUCUGAUCCAGGACACAUAUCUCACUUGCUUUCAUUUGGCUCCUCCCCUAGUACGCAUUGAGCCAAGGAUGAUAUGAAUGUGUACCCACACUAGCAGACUCUCCUUCUAGCGUCUGGUUCACAUAAGAGGAUAAGA